UCAAACCUUUGGCUUUUAUAAAAUCUGUGUUAAAUCAAAGUUUUGUACGACAAUUCCUACUAAACAACAUUCCCGCAAAAUAGAUGGUACUCCACCAAGCCUGCAAAGAGAGUUUAAAUUAAAGCCUAUCCUAGGGCAAGGACUUCCACCAAAACUACACAUGUAAAAGCCUGCCACAAAAACAUAUUCCCAACCCAAAAAGGCAGUCAUCAGGCCCGGCAAAGUUGGCCAAAAAGCCAUUUAUCAGUGAAUGAGCCUCCGAACAAUAUGUGGCGUUAAAUGGCUUGUCAAUCAUCGAGUCGAGUUCAUUAAACGCCUGGCAGCGCUCUUUGACGUCAUAAGCGGUACACGCACUCGGCCAAAGCGGAGCGUGAUAAAUGUUUGAAACAAAAGUGUUACUGACCUCACAUUACACGUAAAAAACGUGCAGGUUCAAAAACCCAAACUCUGACAUUUUUUUCAGAGGAGUGCAGGGUGCGAGGGAGAAAGCGUUAAGCGAGCGAGAUGGGUAGAGAAAGAGUAAAAAAGAUGGCAAUAUAGGAGGGGCACAAAGUUCGUUGUUUGUCUGAAUCGAGCUUCACUUUUCACACUUUUCGUUUUCGUUGCGUUUGGAAUUUCAAAAAAAAAAAAAAAAAA